CCACGGAACUCGGCCGAGGAUUCAGCGGACUGCGGCUGCGCGGCGCCGGCGACAGCGUCAACUGCUUGUGUGUCAAAAGGAAACAGACGAUGGCACUACCGCGCCCCUUCCCGCCAUGCGUUUGUUUGCGGCGUUCCCCGACGCGCGCGCUGAGGCUCUUGUCUGCGGCUCUGCGCUUGGCGGCUGCGCGCCCUCGGCCUUCGGGUCCCCGCCGCCUCCGUGCUGCAAGGUCUGACUUCUUCCUGUGGAGUUAACACGGAAGAGCGCAGACGGCCACAUUCAUGACCCGGGACUAACGGCUCUACCUGUCACAUUCGCUUUCAGCCUAAAACAAAAUUUUAGUUUAUUUUAAACAAAAUAUAUAACUAAGGUAUGCUGG
rnacentral:lncRNA from 1 species